GACGUCUGGUUUAAUGCACCUGGCCCGCGGCCCACAAGGCCUGUGAGUGCCGGCGCGCGUUUACCAUCCCUCCAGCCACGGCUACCCUUAACUGAACUGGAUCUUUUACUUUGAAAAAAUUAGAGUUGUUUUUUAAGCAGGCGUUUGCUCUGAAUACAAUAGAAUGGAAUAAUAGGACUUCGGUUCUAUUUUGUUGGUUUCUAGAACUGAAGUAAUGAUUGCUAGGGAUAGGAAAUUCUUGGAUUCGGUCAAGACUAACUUAUGCGAAAGCAUU
rnacentral:rRNA from 1 species